UACGUAGGGUGCAAGCGUUAUCCGGAAUUAUUGGGCGUAAAGAGCUCGUAGGCGGUUUGUCGCGUCUGCUGUGAAAACUGGGGGCUCAACCGGGCAAGUGGUAGAGAAACUGCCAGACUUGAGGGCUUCAGAGGGAUGGGGAACUCCAGGUGGAGUGGUGAAAUGCGUAGAUAUCUGGAAGAACACCAAAGGCGAAGGCACCAUCCUGGGAAGUCACUGACGCUCAGGUGCGAAAGCUAGGGGAGCGAACGGG
rnacentral:rRNA from 1 species